AAGUUGUUGCCGUUAAAAAGCUCGUAAUUGGACUUUGGGAUGGGCCGGACGGUCCGCCCUAAAUGUGCACCGGUCGUCUCGUCCCUUCUGUCGGUGAUGCGCUCCUGGCCUUAAUUGGCCGAAUCGUGCAUCCGGCGCUGUUACUUUGAAGAAAUUAUAGGGCUCAAAGCAAGCCUACGCUCUGUAUACAUUAGCAUGGGAUACCAUUAUCAGAUUUUGGUCCUAUUCCCUUGGCCUUUAGGAUCGGAGUAAUGAUUAACAGGGACAGUCGGGGGCAUUCGUAUUUCAUAGUCAAAGGUGAAAUUCUUGGAUUUAUGAUAGACGAACAACUGCAAAAGCAUUUGCCAAGGAUGUUUUCAUUAAUCAAGAAUGAAAGUUGGGGUCUCAAAGAUGAUCAGAUACCGUCCUACUCUCAACCAUAAACGAUGUUGACCAGGGAUCGUCGAAUGUUGCUUUUGGGACUCCGCCAGCACCUUAUGAGAAAUCAAACUUUUUGGGUUCCG
rnacentral:rRNA from 1 species